GGAAUCUUCCACAAUGGGCGAAAGCCUGAUGGAGCAACACCGCGUGAGUGAAGAAGGGUUUCGGCUCGUAAAACUCUGUUGUUAAAGAAGAACAUAUCUGAGAGUAACUGUUCAGGUAUUGACGGUAUUUAACCAGAAAGCCACGGCUAACUACGUGCCAG
rnacentral:rRNA from 1 species